CCUGGCAGUUUCCCCUCUUUAGGAACAGGGCACCUUAGUGCCCUGUGACACUGGCCUUUAGCUUCACUCUGCUUUGUCUGUAAAAUGUGGUUUGAACUUUCCUGUUGGCCAAACAGCUAUGCUUCUGAAUGACCCUUUGAAUAUGAACAAAAAGGCCCUAUUCAAGCAAGGGCCAGCAUUCAGGUGUAUUAGCCCAGGCAAUUAUUUAGCUGGAGUGGGAGCACCUGGGUUUUUAAGUUACCCACCAGCUGGUUCUGUCUGGAAAAAGAGAAGUUAAAUUAGCUAAGGUUAUGGAUACACACAGCCUAUUUUAAAUGCAGUUUAAAACUGAGACACAGAUUUACAAGCCAAUUUAACUGGUUUGCCUUGACCUUUCCAGCCAGGAAUGGACUGAGGGAACCCGCUGAUUCCAGAGAGGAGAGCGCUUCAGGCAGGAGUAACGAGCUAGAGAGAAGGACGUGGCCCCUACAUGAAAAUGUAACAAGUGAAGGACACCUAUGCUGCAGGGAAAUCUCUGAAUGAAAGAAAGCUUGUAUAACACUGCCAGCACAGAACAGAACUGGAAAGUACCCGAAGGAAACCAGUAACAAGGUGGAAGACGAAAGCCAUGUCAGUCUCACCUGAAUUCCAAGAUCAUUUCAAAUUAGAAGCAACCAUCAAAGGUUUGUAACUCGAAUGUCUAAAAGCUCAAAUGUUUUUGCAUGCGUGCUAAAACAUUCCACGUCACCUCAGUUUCCUAACCGUGCACUGAUACAUGCACGUGCAGAACAGUUAGCUGCUCUCACACUGUCAUAUGUUCAGCAAACAUACAAAUGUGACAGCAAAUCUGUGGAAGGCUGGUACAAAUUCUUUUUAAUUUUUCCAAAAUAUUUGUAAAGCUGUGCAUGAUAUGAGGGUUCUGUGCUGUCACUACAGCAGUGAAAGGCUGCUAAAACCAACAGCAGCUCAAAGUGCAUGCAAGAAAAUGAUACUUUUGGAGUUAGCAAUAACUUCUUUAGAAGGGGAAAGACAAAAGCCUCAAUUCAGGCCCUGUCCAAGAACUGAAGUAAAGGCUCCUCUUCAAAGGGUAUCUGACAGCAAGAAAAUGUAUAUAGUUCUGAAGCUUAUACAAGCACACUAGUGUUGAUCAACACUGUUGUUUCCAAGUCAGCCCUUCUGAAAAAGUAUUUGGGCUUUUACCCCUAUGACAAUGGAACCCGACGGAACAUGCACGGCUAUGCCGCAUACAGCACGCAAAGUCCAGUGGCAUAAAGCAAACAUCAGAUACGUUACUGCAUCUCCCCAAAAAACCCUGAGAAAGAACACUAGGUAGGGGUAGUGCCACAGAGAGGAGGAUAGUUCCCAGGGCAAAAAGCUAAACAAAGCACAGUUGUGCAGGAGACUUACAUUGCAGCCAUGUUAAUGUACUUCCCUAUCCCUUGCCGGUAAGUCUUGGGAGCCUGGGUCUCUUUCUUUGUCACCACAGGCUGAGCUUUAGUUUUGGCUGCUUCUUCCUCUUGUUGCGCCUUCUCUCUCUCUGCAGCAACC